GACGAACGCUGGCGGCGUGCCUAAUACAUGCAAGUCGAACGCUUUUUCUUUCACCGGAGCUUGCUCCACCNGAAAGAAAAGGAGUGGCGAACGGGUGAGUAACACGUGGGUAACCUGCCCAUCAGAAGGGGAUAACACUUGGAAACAGGUGCUAAUACCGUAUAACAAUCGAAACCGCAUGGUUUCGGUUUGAAAGGCGCUUUUGCGUCACUGAUGGAUGGACCCGCGGUGCAUUAGCUAGUUGGUGAGGUAACGGCUCACCAAGGCAACGAUGCAUAGCCGACCUGAGAGGGUGAUCGGCCACAUUGGGACUGAGACACGGCCCAAACUCCUACGGGAGGCAGCAGUAGGGAAUCUUCGGCAAUGGACGCAAGUCUGACCGAGCAACGCCGCGUGAGUGAAGAAGGUUUUCGGAUCGUAAAACUCUGUUGUUAGAGAAGAACAAGGAUGAGAGUAGAACGUUCAUCCCUUGACGGUAUCUAACCAGAAAGCCACGGCUAACUACGUGCCAGCAGCCGCGGUAAUACGUAGGUGGCAAGCGUUGUCCGGAUUUAUUGGGCGUAAAGCGAGCGCAGGCGGUUUCUUAAGUCUGAUGUGAAAGCCCCCGGCUCAACCGGGGAGGGUCAUUGGAAACUGGGAAACUUG
rnacentral:rRNA from 1 species